AUAAGGCCAGCACGGGAUUUUAUAACGGACUUUGGCGAAACAUUACUUGGUAAUACGAUGUUAUUGCGACACAAAAGAGAUAUCGUUGUAUUUAUAUUGGAAAACUCAAUAAAUAGUAUAACAUUUAUAUACCUACAUUUUUUGUAUAAUUGUUCGUCAAAGUUUGGCAUAGAAUUCAAUGCAGGUCUUAUA